GGACUACCGGGGUAUCUAAUCCUGUUUGAUCCCCGCACUUUCGAGCCUCAGUGUCAGUUACAGUUUUGUGAGCUGCCUUCGCAAUCGGUGUUCUAUGACAUCUCUAUGUAUUUCACCACUACAUGUCAUAUUCCGCCCACAGCAACUGUACUCAAGCCCUACAGUAUCAAUGGCAAUUUCUGGGUUAAGCCCAGAGAUUUCACCACUGACUUAUAAGGCCACCUACGCUCCCUUUAAACCCAAUGAAUCCGGAUAACGCUUGCAUCCUUCGUCUUACCGCGGCUGCUGGCAC
rnacentral:rRNA from 1 species